rnacentral:rRNA from 1 species
GAACGCUAGCGGCAGGCCUAAUACAUGCAAGUCGAACGGUAGAUUACUUUCGGGUAAUUGAGAGUGGCGAACGGGUGCGUAACGCGUAUGCAACCUACCCUAUACAGGGGGAUAGCCCGGAGAAAUCUGGAUUAAUACCCCAUGGUACCAAGUUGAGGCAUUUUGAUUUGGUUAAAGAUUCAUCGGUAUAGGAUGGGCAUGCGUCUGAUUAGCUAGUUGGCGGUGUAACGGACCACCAAGGCGACGAUCAGUAGGGGUUCUGAGAGGAAGGUCCCCCACACUGGCACUGAGAUACGGGCCAGACUCCUACGGGAGGCAGCAGUAGGGAAUAUUGGGCAAUGGACGAGAGUCUGACCCAGCCAUGCCGCGUGCAGGAAGACGGCGUUCUGCGUUGUAAACUGCUUUUAUCUGGGAAGAAAAUGCCCUUGCGAGGGAAAUUGCCGGUACCAGAUGAAUAAGCACCGGCUAACUCCGUGCCAGCAGCCGCGGUAAUACGGAGGGUGCAAGCGUUGUCCGGAUUUAUUGGGUUUAAAGGGUGCGUAGGCGGCUAUUUAAGUCAGUGGUGAAAGACUCCGGCUCAACCGGAGCAGUGCCAUUGAUACUGGAUAGCUUGAGUAUUGGAGGGGUACAUGGAAUUGAUGGUGUAGCGGUGAAAUGCAUAGAUACCAUCAGGAACACCGAUAGCGAAGGCAUUGUACUGGCCAAUAACUGACGCUGAUGCACGAAAGCAUGGGUAGCGAACAGGAUUAGAUACCCUGGUAGUCCAUGCCGUAAACGAUGAUUACUCGCUGUUAUGCCCUUGUGGUGUAGCGGCCAAGCGAAAGCGUUAAGUAA